rfam:Flavobacterium fryxellicola strain DSM 16209 FBFR13, whole genome shotgun sequence.
UGAUAGCCCUGAUGGUAGUGGAAAGCUUUUUGUAGUCUCCUUCUCUUUUUUCUUGUGAAAUAAGAGCGACUUUAGAAGCUCCUUAUUUUACUUAGAAAAAAAUAAAGGAGAGGGCAAAAACUUGCAAUGGAUAGCAGGAUAGGCU